CCUGCCCUUCAGAGGGGGACAACAGUUGGAAACGACUGCUAAUACCGCAUACGAUCUAACCUUGGCAUCGAGGAUGGAUGAAAGGUGGCCUCUAUUUAUAAGCUAUCACUGAAGGAGGGGAUUGCGUCUGAUUAGCUAGUUGGAGGGGUAACGGCCCACCAAGGCGAUGAUCAGUAGCCGGUCUGAGAGGAUGAACGGCCACAUUGGGACUGAGACACGGCCCAGACUCCUACGGGAGGCAGCAUG
rnacentral:rRNA from 1 species